rnacentral:lncRNA from 1 species
CCUGGCUGCUGCACAGGUGUUGUGCAUGUGGAGCCUAUCAAAGGGUGGGGUUGGGCAUCAAGCCCCAGCUGGUAGUCCUCGUUAUUGCAGUGCAGGAGGGAGGCCUGGGGGCAGAGGUGGUUAUGCUUGAAGAGGAGGAUGGGUGCCUUGCUGCCUGCCUGCCCGCCCGCCAGGAUGUGCAGUGCCUGGGAGAUCUUUCUCAGGAUCAGAUUGUGGACAGCAGGCUUGAGGCUUCCCUGGAGCCUGCUUGUCCGCGCCACAGGGUGGCUUCUUUAGCUCAUCUGCGUGGCCUGAAAACAAGUGAUGCAACUCCUCUUGCAUGGACUGAAAAGCAGCCAUGGUUCCCAGAUAGAACUUACUUCAGUGUUACUGACUGUUGAGUGAAGAGAAGGGUUGGUACCAGCAUGAGCUAAAUGCACAUGGCAGUGUCCCUGGUUGCAGUAUUUUGCAGAGACUGAAUGGGGAUUGGCUGAAUCCAGAAGUUUCCACAGCAGUUUUUCAGUCCAUGUUACACACUAAGCAAAU